AGGAUGAACGCUGGCGGCGUGCCUAAUACAUGCAAGUCGAGCGGUAAGGCUCCUUCGGGAGUACACGAGCGGCGGACGGCUGAGUAACACGUAGGAACGUACCCCAAACUGAGGGAUAAGCACCAGAAAAUGGUGUCUAAUACCGCAUGUGGUCUUCGGAUUAAAGCUUCGGCGGUUUGGGAACGGCCUGCGCAUGAUUAGCUUGUUGGUGAGGUAAUUGCUCACCAAGGCGACGAUCAUUAGCUGGUCUGAGAGGAUGAUCAGCCAGACUGGGACUGAGAACGGCCCAGACUCCUACGGGAGGCAGCAGUAGGGAAUUUUCCACAAUGGGCGAAAGCCUGAUGGAGCAACGCCGCGUGCAGGACGAAGGCCUUCGGGUUGUAAACUGCUUUUAUAUGUGACGAUUAUGACGGUAGCAUAUGAAUAAGGAUCGGCUAACUCCGUGCCAGCAGCCGC
rnacentral:rRNA from 1 species